rnacentral:rRNA from 1 species
UACGGGGGGGCAAGCGUUGUCCGGAAUUAUUGGGCGUAAAGAGCUCGUAGGCGGUUUGUCGCGUCGAAUGUGAAAACCCGGGGCUCAACCCCGGGCCUGCAUUCGAUACGGGCAGACUAGAGUUCGGUAGGGGAGUCUGGAAUUCCUGGUGUAGCGGUGAAAUGCGCAGAUAUCAGGAGGAACACCAGUGGCGAAGGCGGGACUCUGGGCCGAUACUGACGCUGAGGAGCGAAAGCGUGGGGAGCAAACAGG